GAGGGGCUUGCUUGUAAAUCAGUGCUUUCCCACUCCUAUUUUUAGUGAGAGAUGUUCACAGAAUGUCCAUGCUGUGGCUGCUGGGUGAGCACGUCCUGAAACAGAGCAGCAGAGAUAGGAAGUGCUUUGUCACCGAGUCUGACGCUUGUUCUUUUGACCAGAACCAAGGAAGAGGGAAAUAUCAAUGAGUUCUCUGACAUGCAUUGCGUGCACAUGCUAUCAUUGUUCUGUUUCCUGGGAAUACUGGAUCCCAUUUAACAUGGCGGCACUGUGCUCUCCUCAAGCAGUGAGCUGGUGGUUAACUGAGAGCUGAAUUCUAAGGAAGAUUGAAUUCUGACUCCUUUUGCACUGGGAAGCCAAGCAACCACACAACUUGCAGGACCUGGGAUAGUUUUCUUCUCAUGGUAAGACUUCCUGGAGUUGUAUUAAAGACUGUCCUGUUCUUUUAAAGUCACUUUAGUACCCUAUGGUGGU
rnacentral:lncRNA from 1 species